rnacentral:rRNA from 1 species
GACGAACGCUGGCGGCGUGCUUAACACAUGCAAGUCGAGCGGUAAGGCCCUUUCGGGGGUACACGAGCGGCGAACGGGUGAGUAACACGUGGGUGACCUGCCCUCAGCUCUGGGACAAGCCUGGGAAACCGGGGUCUAAUACUGGAUACGACUCCAUGACGCAUGUUGUGGGGUGGAAAGCCUUGUGCGGCUGAGGAUGGGCCCGCGGCCUAUCAGCUUGUUGGUGGGGUGAUGGCCUACCAAGGCGACGACGGGUAGCCGGCCUGAGAGGGCGACCGGCCACACUGGGACUGAGACACGGCCCAGACUCCUACGGGAGGCAGCAGUGGGGAAUCUUGCGCAAUGGGCGAAAGCCUGACGCAGCGACGCCGCGUGAGGGAUGACGGCCUCGG